rnacentral:lncRNA from 1 species
CUGCUGAAGUCUGCCUCUCCCCACCACCCACCAUGCCCUGGCAGCAUAAAAUCCCAAUUCCACCUCUGCCCUCAUGAUUGCAUCCCUCCUCCUGUCCCAUCUCCCACUGUGCUCCAGCCACAAGGGCCUGCUCAAGUGUUCCUGCCUGGGCUGAGGUCUUCUGUGGCCCCUCCAGGGGCACACUCACCUUCCUCCAACCUGCCCUGUGCCUGAGGCUGACCCGUGUGUCCUAUCAGUGGGCUCUGUGGAGUCAGGCCUCCAGCUGGGUUUGGUCACUGUGAGGUACCCACAGAGAGAGAAGCAGUAUGGGUCAGGGUCUUUAUUCCCACGGUUCUCUCCUUAUAGAUGUCUUGGACUGGUUCCUCGAUCAGAGGCCAUCACUCCUCCCAAAGAAGCCGACUCUAAGUUCCAGCAAUCACUCCUUCCCCUCUUCCCUUCAGGGUGAUAACAGUUUUGCUGCUACUGGUCCAAGGCUACUGCCCUAUUCCUUGUGUUCCUUUCACAAUAGCCUCAUUGUAAAGAAUCUCUCCUUGAAUUCUCCUUCCUUCCUUCCUUCCUUUCUUUCCUUUCUUCUUUUUCUUUUUUUCUUUUUUUUUGAGACAGAGUCUCACUCUAUCACCCAGGAUGGAAUGCAGUGGCAUGAUCUCACUGUCACCUCUGCCUCCCGGGUUCAAGUGAUUCUCACUCCUCAGCCUCCUAAGUAGCUGGGAUUACAGGCACACACCACCACACCUGGCUAAUAUUUUUUGUUGAGACGGGGUUUCACCACGUUGACUAGGCUGGUCUUGAACUUUUGAUCUCAGGCAAUUUGCUUGCCUCGGCCUCCCAAAGUGCUGGGAUUACAAGCGUGAGCCACCGCGCCUGGCCUGAAUUCUCCUAUCUGGAGUGUGCUCCUGUUUCCUGUUGGGAUGCCGACCUGCACGCCUCAUCUCAGGGCCUCCAUACUUGCUGUUCCCAGUGCCCGGUGUGCUCUUCCCUCAGGUCUUUACAUGGGCAACUACUUUUCAGCUUUAAGGUCUCAGCCUGACUAAUGUUUUCUCAGAAAGACUUUCCCAGAGAGAGGGGUCACCUCUAGCCAAAGGUGUCCCCCUCACCCUGGUUGUUCUCAAUCCCAUAGCCCUAGAUUAGUUUCUUCCUUGUAUCUGUCAGUGUUUGCAAUGUUUGUCUGGCUUUCUCCUCUGGAAUGCAAGCUCCGUAAGAGCCGGGGUUUUUAUCUGUCUUGUUUACUUCUGUAUCCCCCAAGCCUAGGACACUGUCUAGCACACAGUAGGCACUUACUAUAAAUGUUUAUUGAAUUUGUAAAUGAGACAGAUUCAAUAUGCAAACCAGGGAGUAGCAUAAAUGAAUGAAUGAAUGUAUAUAUUGGCAAGUAACUCAUCUGAAUUAAUGGAUGAAUGAAUUGGGCAAAUGUGUGACAAAUGAAUGAACACAUUGACACAGACAUGCACCUGGGGAGAAUGCCAUGUGAAGGCGAAGGCAGGGAUUGGGGUGAUGCCUCUACAAGCCCAGGACUCAGAAGAUUGCCGGCAAGUCCCCAGAAGCUAGGGGAGAGGCAUGGAACAGAUUCUUCCUCACAGCCCUCAGAAGGAACCCACCAUACCCAUACCUGGAUUGUGGGCUUCUAGCCUCCAAAACUGUGGGACAAUCUGUUUCUGUUUGUGAAGCCACCCAGUCUGUAUUACUUCUUAUGGCAGCCCGAGCAAAUGAAUAAAGUAUGUCUAGGCUUUAGGCUUCUAGAGCUUUAGAGGUGAUGACCUACCAUGUACAGGCUUUGGAGAGGCAGCACAGUGUGGUCGCAAGAGAGUGGGCUGGCAGCUGGGGACAGUCCCAGCUCUGCCACUGACUUGCUGGGCUAGUCUUCCUGCCUGUGAACUGAGGGGGUGGGACUGCAAGAUUUCUAGGGUCCUUCCCAGCCCUGACUUUUCCUAUUUGAGGAGCUGUGAAGAGGAGGCCAAGCAAGGUCAGGUGGCACAAUCCAGGUCACCCAGAGGGUUAAUCGGAAGUGGUCCCAGGAACAGCGUCUCGCCAAUUGCAUGAUGAUUGCUCCUUUGCCCGAGAUGCCUCCCAGCAGAGUCUACAGCAAGCCUGACCUUCUCUGAUCCUCUGUUCUCAGCCCCUGGGUGGCCUUGGUGCUGUGUGGGUCUGAUAAGGCCCUGGCUAUUUGGAAAGGUGGCUUCCUGCAGGAGGGAGUAUGAGGAGGGCCCUGCUGGUGUCCUGCGAGUUCUUGCACUGCCUCCCUAGGCUGCCUGGAUAGAAGGCUCGAUGCUCUGGCUGGCCUGCUGACUUCCCUUCCUGCCUGAUUCCAGGGCCUUCUUAGAACUAGCCUAGGGACUCAGGCUGGUCCACACCAAAUGGAUGGCAGCAUUUAAAAACUAACAGUUUGCAGUUGUCAGGUUGUUGCUGAGUGGCCCUCUGACUCCCUUGCCUUUCAGUGUCUGAAACAGUGUAUCCAAGGGAGGUCUACAGUGAGAUGCUGCAAGUCUCUGUCCUCACAGGGCUACUGCGGUACGUCCAGUUGUCAGUUUCACGGAGCUGGAAGGGAGAGUAGAGAUGCUGCUUGGCUGAAUGGGAGGUACAAAGAUUCAGUGUUUGAAAACAUGGAUCUUAAAAAUGACAACCUGAGUAUAGGGUGGUGAGGCCUGUUUCACAGUUUUUGCAUGAAAAAAUCUGGAAGUCAUAGUGGCACCCAAGCUCAGUGCAAGAUGACAAUGCCAGAGUAAGGAAGCACAAUUGAGGCUGACUUAAUGAUGCUUUGCAAGGAGGUAGCAAGUCUGUUGUCUCUGACUCAUCUGAUGAGCUCUUUACCCAACAUAGAAUUCUGGCUGCAAGCCUCCAGUGACCAACAGUUCUCUUUUGCUUGCUUGAAGUAGCUCUGUCAGAAAGUUCUUCUUUGUAUUCUGCUUCCUUGUAAUUUUAUUC